ensembl:lncRNA
CUUUGUUUCUGGUGUUUUUAUUGAAUCCAGAAGGGAAUUGAGUAACAGACUCAAUACCUAUGUAAAAGAGAAAACGCAAAGGGUAGGCUGAGUGCUUCCAGUCAAAAUACGUUUACAAAGUGUACUGAUGCAAGAAGCAGGCUUCUGACUGAGCUAGGUUGUGGUGAGAAAUAAACAGCACAGCCAAGGGAUAACCAAGCAAGCCCGUGUCUUAAUUUGACAGAAUUAAAACUGAAACCACCGCUGUCUCUACAGAGCAAUCUUGGUAGAGCUUCCUCAGCCUUUCCAGAUUUAUGUUCAGCACGCAACAUAACAAUUUGUUAGACUUCAUAGAAGUUUAUUUGUUGGAUUAGUCCAUGCAAUCUCUUUGUAUAUAGAGUGGUGCUCCAUUAGAACUUUCUGACAUGGAAUUUUGAAGAUGGCUAUUACAUUGCAAGUGAGCCCCGUGUUUUACCACAGAUGAAGAGAACAAGAUGGCUGCUCCUGACCUAAAAAACUGCUACAGAAGCUGCAGCACUUAUACACUGGGUUUGCAAUUCUCAGCACUUUCCUUGAUGAGAUUAAUAGAAGUCUUCAUCAACAGACACCAGUUCCUGCUGGUCAGCUGUACACAACAGUAGCAUGUAAUGGUCUUCAGCAGAAUGAACACUUGUUCCUAACCUUACGAAGCCAUUUGAAGGUAGCAGUACAGAUUGAGGUCAUGAUGUUAUGCUCCCAGGGGCUUUACACAAUGACAUUUGUUAUUUCAACACAAGAAGUCAGGAAAGUAAAACUGGGGAUUAAGCUGGUUAUAUCAAGAACUUUCAGCUGAUGCAAUUGAACAUCAUUUCAUCAGUUACUAACUUACAUAUGAGAUGUAAAUCUACAGUAUAGAUAAAUAGUUAUGAAACAUUAAAUAAGCCACCUAAUCCUUAAUCUCCAUAAAUUGAACAAUGACUGAAGUGUGUUUUAUUCCCAGUAAUUGAAUGUGUUCUGCUUAUUUUUGCAAAAUUGCACAGACUUAUUUAAAACCCAGUCACUUUUCAUCUCCUGAGUAAUGUGGGAGAACUGAGCUGGACUGAAAAGAAAACAGUGAAAAAAUCCCACUGGAACUACUACAACAAUUGUCUUCUUGUAUUGGUACACCAGCAUUUUGGUGUGGAAUGCAGCUUAAUUUGUCCAAGUUGGUGCUGACCAUGGAAUAUAUAUCGUGACAUUUGUUUAAGAUACUUGCUGUAUUUUUUAAAAAUAAUGACUCUUUAUGGCAAGGCUGUUCUUUAUGAAAUCCUUCUUUUGUUCCCAAGAUACAUACCAACAGAAAGGUCACACUUGAAAAGGCUGUUAUGCAUACUUGAACAACAAUAACAAGAAGUUCUAAGAUCUAAAUUGGGCAGUGAUUAAAUAGACAUCAAAUCUACAAAAUCUAUACAGUAUACAUAGAACAGAAGGUUAUGCUGGCUGACCUAAGUGGCCACUUGAACUCAAGUCUCCCAUAAAAAUUAACUCUGUAUUAUCACCCAAAAGAAAAACAUGCGAAAGCACUUAGAACCAGUUAUGUUGGAUCCUCUGUCCACAGCUAUUACAACUACACCAGGCUGCUAUCUGGUUACACCAUCAUCAUCUUGAUGGAGUGUUGUGUAAGUGUACACAACAGUGUUACAGUUCAUAAGAAGGGAAAAAAAAAAGUCAACCAACCAACCAGCCAAAUAAAAUAACUGCUUAUCACACUGGUAACUGCAGUAGCUGCUUUUGAAUAUUCAGCUCUGUGGGUCUAGUUCUCAAACAAUGCUUUAAUCUAGUGGGUGCUCACUGCAGUUUGGCAAUAAAUUAUUGGGUUUAUUGCUACAUCUGCAGAAUAAAGUUAUCCUUCCUGAAUACAAUGGAGGAUAUCAACCAAAUGAAGACAAUCUCAGUAGACAGGAAAAUAAUUCAACACUGAAGUCUGAAGCAGAAUACCUUAGCAGUAUGGAAAGGCACAUGAUAAUGACUGUGUCUGAAUCAAGAUCACAGAACUGCAUGCAAGUCUAACAGAGUGUAUGUGGUCACUCAUGCUCCCUACUUACAUAGGGUUUGUUUACAUCCACUGGGUAGAAAGUCCUGCAGAAUGUUUAAGGAUGCAAUUAAGCACAUCUCAGUGAAAUCAAGGCAACUUCUUAUAUUGAAAGCUGAACCUAUGUACAAAUUUAAUUGCACUGGUAAAGUACGAAAUAAAGGUUGCUCAACAACACCCUUCCACCUCUGUGGUCUCAG